rnacentral:rRNA from 1 species
UACGUAGGGGGCAAGCGUUGUCCGGAAUCAUUGGGCGUAAAGAGCGUGUAGGCGGUUCGGUAAGUCCGCCGUCAAAUCCCAGGGCUCAACCCUGGACAGGCGGUGGAAACUGCCAAGCUGGAGUACGGUAGGGGCAGAGGGAAUUUCCGGUGGAGCGGUAAAAUGCGUAGAGAUCGGAAAGAACACCAACGGCGAAAGCACUCUGCUGGGCCGACACUGACACUGAGAGACGAAAGCUAGGGGAGCGAAUGGG